rnacentral:rRNA from 1 species
AUUGAACGCUGGCGGCAUGCCUUACACAUGCAAGUCGAACGGCAGCACGGGGGCAACCCUGGUGGCGAGUGGCGAACGGGUGAGUAAUGCAUCGGAACGUGCCAAGUAGUGGGGGACAACCAGUCGAAAGAUUGGCUAAUACCGCAUACGACCUAUGGGUGAAAGCGGGGGACCGUAAGGCCUCGCGCUAUUGGAGCGGCCGAUGUCUGAUUAGCUAGUUGGUGAGGUAAAAGCUCACCAAGGCGACGAUCAGUAGCUGGCCUGAGAGGACGACCAGCCACACUGGGACUGAGACACGGCUCAGACUCCUACGGGAGGCAGCAGUGGGGAAUUUUGGACAAUGGGCGCAAGCCUGAUCCAGCCAUGCCGCGUGCGGGAAGAAGGCCUUCGGGUUGUAAACCGCUUUUGGCAGGAACGAAACGGCGACUCUUAAUACGGGUCGUUAAUGACGGUACCUGCAGAAUAAGCACCGGCUAACUACGUGCCAGCAGCCGCAGUAACAC